rnacentral:tRNA from 1 species
CCGUGGCUCAGUCGGUAGAGCAGCUGAUUCGUAAUCAGCAGGUCGCCGGUUCAAGUCCGGCCGG